ACUGCGUACCUUUUGUAUAAUGGGUCAGCGACUUAUAUUCUGUAGCAAGGUUAACCGAAUAGGGGAGCCGGAGGGAAACCGAGUCUUAAUUGGGCGUUAAGUUGCAGGGUAUAGACCCGAAACCCGGUGAUCUAGCCAUGGGCAGGUUGAAGGUUGGGUAACACUAACUGGAGGACCGAACCGACUAAUGUUGAAAAAUUAGCGGAUGACCUGUGGCUGGGGGUGAAAGGCCAAUCAAACCGGGAGAUAGCUGGUUCUCCCCGAAAGCUAUUUAGGUAGCGCCUCGUGAAUUCAUCUCCGGGGGUAGAGCACUGUUUCGGCUAGGGGGCCAUCCCGGCUUACCAACCCGAUGCAAACUGCGAAUACCGGAGAAUGUUAUCACGGGAGACACACGGCGGGUGCUAACGUCCGUCGUGAAGAGGGAAACAACCCAGACCGCCAGCUAAGGUCCCAAAGUCAUGGUUAAGUGGGAAACGAUGUGGGAAGGCCCAGACAGCCAGGAUGUUGGCUUAGAAGCAGCCAUCAUUUAAAGAAAGCGUAAUAGCUCACUGGUCGAGUCGGCCUGCGCGGAAGAUGUAACGGGGCUAAACCAUGCACCGAAGCUGCGGCAGCGACACUGUGUGUUGUUGGGUAGGGGAGCGUUCUGUAAGCCUGUGAAGGUGUGUCGUGAGGCAUGCUGGAGGUAUCAGAAGUGCGAAUGCUGACAUAAGUAACGAUAAAGCGGGUGAAAAGCCCGCUCGCCGGAAGACCAAGGGUUCCUGUCCAACGUUAAUCGGGGCAGGGUGAGUCGACCCCUAAGGCGAGGCCGAAAGGCGUAGUCGAUGGGAAACGGGUUAAUAUUCCCGUACUUGGUGUUACUGCGAAGGGGGGACGGAGAAGGCUAUGUUGGCCGGGCGACGGUUGUCCCGGUUUAAGCGUGUAGGUGUGUGUUCCAGGUAAAUCCGGUUCACUUUAACACUGAGGCGUGACGACGAGGCACUACGGUGCUGAAGCAACAAAUGCCCUGCUUCCAGGAAAAGCCUCUAAGCAUCAGGUAACAUCAAAUCGUACCCCAAACCGACACAGGUGGUCAGGUAGAGAAUACCAAGGCGCUUGAGAGAACUCGGGUGAAGGAACUAGGCAAAAUGGUGCCGUAACUUCGGGAGAAGGCACGCUGACACGUAGGUGAAGUGAUUUACUCAUGGAGCUGAAGUCAGUCGAAGAUACCAGCUGGCUGCAACUGUUUAUUAAAAACACAGCACUGUGCAAACACGAAAGUGGACGUAUACGGUGUGACGCCUGCCCGGUGCCGGAAGGUUAAUUGAUGGGGUCAGCGCAAGCGAAGCUCCUGAUCGAAGCCCCGGUAAACGGCGGCCGUAACUAUAACGGUCCUAAGGUAGCGAAAUUCCUUGUCGGGUAAGUUCCGACCUGCACGAAUGGCGUAAUGAUGGCCAGGCUGUCUCCACCCGAGACUCAGUGAAAUUGAACUCGCUGUGAAGAUGCAGUGUACCCGCGGCAAGACGGAAAGACCCCGUGAACCUUUACUAUAGCUUGACACUGAACAUUGAGCCUUGAUGUGUAGGAUAGGUGGGAGGCUUUGAAGUGUGGACGCCAGUCUGCAUGGAGCCGACCUUGAAAUACCACCCUUUAAUGUUUGAUGUUCUAACGUGGACCCGUUACCCGGGUUGCGGACAGUGUCUGGUGGGUAGUUUGACUGGGGCGGUCUCCUCCUAAAGAGUAACGGAGGAGCACGAAGGUUGGCUAAUCCUGGUCGGACAUCAGGAGGUUAGUGCAAUGGCAUAAGCCAGCUUGACUGCGAGCGUGACGGCGCGAGCAGGUGCGAAAGCAGGUCAUAGUGAUCCGGUGGUUCUGAAUGGAAGGGCCAUCGCUCAACGGAUAAAAGGUACUCCGGGGAUAACAGGCUGAUACCGCCCAAGAGUUCAUAUCGACGGCGGUGUUUGGCACCUCGAUGUCGGCUCAUCACAUCCUGGGGCUGAAGUAGGUCCCAAGGGUAUGGCUGUUCGCCAUUUAAAGUGGUACGCGAGCUGGGUUUAGAACGUCGUGAGACAGUUCGGUCCCUAUCUGCCGUGGGCGCUGGAGAACUGAGGGGGGCUGCUCCUAGUACGAGAGGACCGGAGUGGACGCAUCACUGGUGUUCGGGUUGUCAUGCCAAUGGCACUGCCCGGUAGCUAAAUGCGGAAGAGAUAAGUGCUGAAAGCAUCUAAGCACGAAACUUGCCCCGAGAUGAGUUCUCCCUGAGACUUAGAGUCUCCUGAAGGAACGUUGAAGACGACGACGUUGAUAGGCCGGGUGUGUAAGCGCAGCGAUGCGUUGAGCUAACCGGUACUAAUGAACCGUGAGGCUUAACCUUAC
rnacentral:rRNA from 1 species